rnacentral:rRNA from 1 species
UACGGAGGGGGCGAGCGUUGUUCGGAAUCACUGGGUGUAAAGCGUGCGCAGGCGGUUAUGUAAGACAGGUGUGAAAUCCCCGGGCUUAACCUGGGAACUGCAUUUGUGACUGCAUAGCUAGAGUACGGUAGAGGGGGAUGGAAUUCCGCGUGUAGCAGUGAAAUGCGUAGAUAUGCGGAGGAACACCGAUGGCGAAGGCAAUCCCCUGGACCUGUACUGACGCUCAUGCACGAAAGCGUGGGGAGCAAACAGG